rnacentral:misc_RNA from 1 species
AAAUUAUCAAGGAAAAUUGAUCUAUGAAUAAAUCAUAAUGUAUUUGGCCUCAACAAACAUAUGGAGAAAUGAUAAAACCAACAAAACUAGAUAAUACCAAAAUACUCUAGAAUCUCAGUAUAACUCCAAAACACAAAGAACAAAAAGAUACUACAGAUUCUCUCAACAUCAGUAAAAUGGUUUAGAGCAGCCCCGCAAAACAUUUUCUAAAUUGUUUAAAGAGAAUGACUACUAGAUCAUCAACUCUUACUGAUCUCCAGGCAGAGACUUGAUAAUGUCGGAAUCACCUGGGUCAAUGAUGCUCAGGCAUGACACACGGUGGAACUUUCCACAUGCUGUACCAAGAUCAACAUUGUUUCCAUUGAAAUGGUGAACACCAACUUUAGCGAGCAUAGCAUAAUACUCAAUCUCAGAUUUCCUCAAAGGUGGGCAGUUGUUUGAUAUCAAUAUCAACUUCCCUUUUGAGGUCCUGAGAGUCUUGAGAACAGUCUUGUAACCAAGAGUGUACUUUCCACUCUUCAUUACGAGAGCCAAUCUGUUGUUAAUGCUCUCAUGAGUCCUCUUCGAUUUCUUCCCGGUAGUCACCAUUCUUGAUUACACAAAGAUCUGUGAAACUAAGGGGAAAGGGGGAAGGGGAAAAACAGGGAAGAG